GUCCCUCUUAAUCAUUACCUCGUAUUCCAAAAACCAACACAACAGAAACGAGGUCUUGUUCUAUUAUUCAAUGCAAUGCUUGUGCCAGCAGCAGCGGUC
rnacentral:lncRNA from 1 species